CUCUUUCAACACAUCUGCAUAGUCUUCUUGGUCUGAAGGUCAUCCAGCUGCCAUUAAUGUUUUAUUCCUUUGAUGAGCAAAACAGAGCUGAGCCAAACCAUUUUUUAAUCAAGCAUGUUCAAGAGACAACCUGCCCACAUGGUGAUAACAUCAAAAAAAAACAGGAAACUGUCCUUUUUUCAGUGGAUAAUCUUUCCUCCUUUGUCGAAUAUUAGUUGACUGUAGAGUUGAGGGCCCAUUUCUGCCAAACUGUGGAAGAAGCCUCGGUGCCCAUCGAAAGAUGAAUGGAUAAAGAAGAUGUGGUCUAUGUAUACCAUGGAAUAUUACUCAGCCAUUAGAAAUGAUGAAUACCCACCAUUUGCUUCGACGUGGCUGGAACUGGAGGGUAUUAUGCUGAGUGAAGUAAGUCAAUCGGAGAAGGACAAUCAUUGUAUGGUUUCACUCGUACAGGGAAUAUAAAAAAUAGUGGGAGGGAUUAUAGGGGAAAGGAGAGAAAAUGAAUGGGAAAAAUCAGAGAGGGUGACAAAACAUGAGAGACUCCUACC